rnacentral:rRNA from 1 species
AGGCAGCAGUUGGGAAUAUUGGGCAAUGGGCGAAAGCCUGACCCAGCGACGCCGCGUGAGGGAAGAAGGCCUUCGGGUCGUAAACCUCUGUCAUUGGGGACGAAGGAAGUGACGGUACCCAAGGAGGAAGCCCCUGCUAACUAC